AAUAACUUCAAGUUCAAAGUUUUGUUCAGAUGCGUGACAAAUGAACGCGUACAGUGAGUAAAUAGAAGUGAAUCAAACUACGAGAUUUACUUUUCCACUGGCACUAGGCGUAGAAUACCAUGGCGAGCUACUGGUAGGAAAUUAAAUAUUGAAUUCAUGUGCCUGGCUCUCUUGUGAUCGCGGUGGACCUUGUCGCGUCUCGAAGAAGCAGUUAGUGAAGAGAGGUUGUUUUGAACGGGUGUUCACGCUUAAAUAGGCGAUGUGCUACUAGCGACCUCCAGUUAUGCCUCUGGUAAAUUAGCGAAGUAGGAGUUAACCAUGUUUGCCUGGAAUGUUCUGAAAUAUUCUAGAUUGUUCGAUCAGGAGAGAUAACCGUCGUUGACUACCAACGAAUAUUUCUGUGGACUUGCGAAUCUGUUUCAAUUAGUGCUGCCUACAAAUGCGAGCAAGAGAAAUAAUAUUCUUAAGAUUAUUAACCUGGAAAAGUUCAGGACAAGUUAUUACAUCUGGUAAAGUACAGAACAAGAAAAUUUUUACUUAAAAUAUUGCAGUUAAGGAUAAAAUUUGAAUAUUAAAAAAAACUAUUUGAUUUUAAUUUACAAAGUAACAUUAUAAUUAGAGAAGGUACUAUUAUUUUGUUAAAAUAUCAGCACACUAGAAUACUUAAAAUAUGAGAGCCAGGAGUACCAAUAUAGCUAAAGUUUUAUGCAAAGUAGAAUAGUAUGUAUGGUAGGCAAAUUCAUUAUGUAAAAAAUAGGCAUUGUUCAAGACUAAAAAUGUGAAGUCUUGGCAAUAACUCGAGCAAAUUUUACUGUGAAUUUGUUGUUAUAGGUAGAUUUUACUGUAAUAUAUAAUUAAUUUUUGUAUUAUUCUACUUAUUGUACUAAGUAUGUACUACCAUUAUUUCUUAUAACCUAUUUUCAAAUUUCUAAUUAUUGAUUAAUAAUUAAAAAUGAAUGUUUUUUAAGUGCAAAAAAUAUUUAAGUUAUUUUUUAUUUUUAAUAGAAGUAACAAGCAAUAAAUUAUAGAAGCAAUAACUUGUAAUAAAAUUUUUAGUUUUAAUAAAAGUUGGUAUUUUCUAAAUCUAAAUAUUUAAUUUAAAAUUUUAUCCUUAGCUGCAAUAUUUUAAGUAAAAAAUUUCUUGUUCUGUACCUUACCAGAUGUAAUAACUUGUCCUGAACUUUUCCAAAUGUAAUAAUUUGUCCUGUAAUUUUCCAGAUUUAUAAUCUUAAGAAUAUUAUUUCUCUUGCUCGCAUUUUUCUAUAUAAUAUAUACUUAUAUAUAUAUAUAUAUAUAUACAUAUAUACACACGUAUAUACGAGGCAAAUCCCAUUAUUCAUGUCAACCAUGUGCUUAUUUGAUCAAAAUAAUACCGCAGUGGAUAUAAUGAUCGGAGUGAAUAAAUUAUAUAUAUAUAUGUGUAUACAUAAUUAAGGAUAAAAUCAUUAUGAAAAUAACGGUCCUAUCAGUGGCCAGCAUAUAAUAAAAUCCUUAUAGGUAAUAAUUAAUAUAGAUAUAUAAUUAUAUACAUAUAAUUAUAAUUAAGUGUACUGAGAAACAGCACCAACGUUAUAAUUAUAUCUAUAUUAAUUUUUACCUCUCUGAGUGGUUGGCAUUAGGAAGGGCAUCCAGCUGUAGAAACUCUGCCAAAUUAGAUUGGAGCCUGGUGUUGCCAUCCGGUUUCACCAGUCCUCAGUCAAAUCGUCCAACCCAUGCUAGCAUGGAAAGCGGACGUUAAACGAUGAUGAUGAUGAUGAUAAUGGUUCUUAUUACAUGCUGGCCACUGAUAGGGUUGUUAUUUUUAUAAUGAUGUUAUUUUUAAUUAUGUAUACACAUAUAUAUCAUUAUAUAUAUAUAUAUAUAUUUUGUUUUGGGAUUUGGCUUGCAGGAUUCUUUAUGUGAGUUCGUGUGUUGAAGCAUAUUCUGUUGUGUCUGGGGAGAGUCAUUCUCUUUUGGUGCCUUAUAAUUUAACACACUCACCGUGCAAAUCAUUUUGAAGACUGCGGAAUAAAGGAUAAUCAGAUGGGACGAUGUCUGGCAAAUAUAGUGGAUGGAGCAUCAUUUCCCAUUCAAUCUGCUCUAGUCUUUGGAAUGUCCUCCUCACUGUAUGUGGAAGAACACCUUUCAUCUUGAAACCAAAGAUGGUCAUUUUUUUUUCAGCACUGACUUAAGCCACUUAAUCUGCUCGCAGUAUAUCUCCCUUGUUAUCAUUUGGUUUGGGUUUAAAAGUUCAAAGUGGACUAAACUUGUCAUAUAUCACCAAACAGAUAACAACACCUUAUGUGGUGAAGACCUUCUUUAGCUUGGGGUGCCAGUGUUUCUCCUUUCCCUCCCCACUGUCUUCGAUGCUUGUCAUUUUUAUAGAGAACCCAUUUCUCAUCACCAGUCACUAUUCGGUCCAAAACAGAUUCAUUCUUGAGACGUGACAGCAAAGAAGAGCACACAUUCACCCUCUGCACUCAAUUAGACACAGAAAGUUUGUGAGGAAGCUGUUGACCCAAUUUGCUGACUUUUCUGAUGGCACGUAGGUGUUGAUAAAUGGUUGAAUGAUCAAAUCCAAGCUUCUCUGCUAGUUCCUCAACAGUUAUGAUAGGAUUUGCAGGACAUCUUCAUUGAGAUCUCUCAGAUCUUCCAGGAUGAAGCUCAUCUUCUAGGCUGUAGUUUCCACCUUCGAAUUUCUGGAACCACCAUUGACGUUGGCUUACGCUUAUUGUCCGAUCUCCAUAUACUGCAUUAAUAUUCCUUGCACUUUCCAUUGCAUUGUUGCCUUUAUUGAAUUCAUAAAGCCAAAUAUACUCCUUUGUCACUUCCAUUAUAGCUUUGAAAAAAUAACUGUUAAAAUUGAACUGCCCUCUUCAAACCUAGCCUUGCACUAAAAAUAAGUAUUAGGUAAAAAUUACCUCCUGCCUUUAUAGCAAGUUGAGGCAGGUAGUUUAUCCCGUCCCCCUCCAACUUCUUAGUUCAUGCAAUUGAAAAAAAAACACAUUAUUCAUGGGCUGACCCAGUAUGUGUAUCACUAGCCACUACACAUUUUUUAUUUUCUCUCCUUGUUUCUUUCUGUGUUCCUUUCUGUGGAAGAGCAUAAGCUCAAAAAUUAAAGACUUUUUCACUUCUUGAGCAUUAAACUAAUACAUCUUUUUUGUUGUCUACAC